rnacentral:rRNA from 1 species
UACGUAGGGUCCGAGCGUUAAUCGGAAUUACUGGGCGUAAAGCGUGCGCAGGCGGUUUUGUAAGCCAGAUGUGAAAGCCCCGGGCUCAACCUGGGAACUGCAUUUGGGACUGCAUUAGGGGACGAUGGAACUCCCGGUGGAGCGGUGAAAUGCGUAGAUAUCGGGAGGAACGCCGGUGGCGAAAGCGAUCGUCUGGAGUGCAUGUGACGCUGAGGCGCGAAAGCUAGGGGAGCAAACGGG